GUUCCUACGGGGCGCAGCAGGGAUAUUGCACAAUGGGGGAAACCCUGAUGCAGCGACGCCGCGUGGGUGAAGAAGCGCCUCGGCGCGUAAAGCCCUGUCAGCAGGGAAGAAAAUGACGGUACCUGAAGAAGAAGCCCCGGCUAACUACGUGCCAGCAGCCGCGGUAAUACGUAGGGGGCAAGCGUUAUCCGGACUUACUGGGUGUAAAGGGGGCGCAGACGGCGAUGCAAGCCAGGAGCGAAAGCCCGGGGCCCAACCCCGGGACUGCUCUUGGAACUGCGUGGCUAGAGUGCAGGAGGGGCAGG
rnacentral:rRNA from 1 species